GCCUUCUCACCAAUCUGGUGAGCAGCUUGCUGAACAAGUCUCUUAAGUCCCUCGUCCCUGCGCUGCUCUGCCCAUUAGUGAACGUGUGGGUCAGCAUCAUCAACAUCAAUCUGCAAUUCCUCAACCGUGUCAUCUCAUUUGGGCUUCUGGGGAAAAUCUACUCUGCCCUCUCCAAACUGCCACUGACAUCUGGGCACUAUGUGGAGCUGGAUCU